UACGUAGGGUGCGAGCGUUAAUCGGAAUUACUGGGCGUAAAGCGUGCGCAGGCGGUUCGUUGUGUCGGUGGUGAAAGCCCCGGGCUUAACCUGGGAAUGGCCAUGGAAACUGGCGAACUGGAGUGUGGCAGAGGGGGGGUGGAAUUCCGCGUGUAGCAGUGAAAUGCGUAGAUAUCUGGAGGAACACCGGUGGCGAAGGCGGAUCGUCUGGGCCAUUACUGACGCUGAGGAGCGAAAGCGUGGGGAGCGAACAGG
rnacentral:rRNA from 1 species